AUCCUUUUGUAGUUUAUAAGCCUAAUGAUUGGAUUUUCAUGCUCAUGUGUGAGAUAUUCCUCCCUCAUCCUUGUUAAUAUGUUGGCACAUUUCCCAUCUGACA